UCAGCCAUUUCGUUACCUAUUUCCCUGGCUGCAUGAACAUACUCCAAAUCUUCAGUUUGCUCAGUCACAUUAAGCACUGAUUUUUCUUCCAAAACUCCGCUUUCCUCAACCAUGUCAGUUCCCAUUUCUCCCUCAACCACCGGUUCCUCCACAAAUUCAGUUUUCUCAGUCAUGUCAUCCACCCCUGUUUCUUCCAUAACCCCACUUUGCUCCCCCUCUUUCUCCACCAUCAUUUCACUUUUCACGGACACGUCAGCCCCCUCUCUUUUAUUCAUAAUUCCAGUUUCCUCCAUAACCACAGUUUGCUCUGUUGAAUCACCCACUUCUACUGCCACGAUUGUUUCUUCUUCCUUAGCCAAAACACUCUCUGUGGCGCCAUCCACCUCCGCCGC
rnacentral:lncRNA from 1 species